rnacentral:lncRNA from 1 species
AAAGAAGCUCCCGCGUCAGAGCUGGGAAGUGCCGGGCCGGCGGGGAGGGGAGCCCGGGCGCACGGGCCAGGCCGCGGGCUGUCCCAGGGAGCCCCGAGGGCGCGGUGCGCGGGCGCAGGUCGGGCGCAGGCGGGGUGACCCGGGGAAGGGGCGCGCACAGAGACAGAGGGAGCCAGCCGGGCCCCGCGGUGUCCUCGGACGCCUCCGAAAUCUCCCUGCGUGUUUGUUUCUUCGGAGCUUCACCGGAGCCUGACUCUGGACCCGGCCUGUCUGCCUGCUGCAGUCUGUCAUUCAACAUUUAUUCAACCAAAAAUACUAAGUCAGCUCUAUACAAACUAAUGGAAGGAUACAGCUAUGCAAAUACAGAAGAACACUAAACUGUUACAUGACAGAUGUAUGAGAUUUGCCAACAUCUUGGGAACAUUGUUGGAAGCAUAGGACAUGUCAAUGAUGGCCAGGUGUGAGAGGAAGAAGUACAUGGGGGUAUGCAGACUGUGGUCCAGACAGAUGAGUCCCAAGAUCAUGCCAUUCGCCAGCAGGCUGAAGAUGUAUAACAGGGAGAAGAUCCAAAAGAGGAGCACUUCCAUCUCGACACUGAGCUGGAAUCCCACCAGGAUGAAUUCUGUGACCCAUGAUUGGUUGACUCCCAUUCCUUAAUGGAAGUCUGUCAAGGACUGAAGUGUGAUAGAAAGGUCAGAAAAUUUGAGUUUUUAUCUGAAAAUGAGCUAAGAUAAAGGCUAUAUGUUUGUUCCUAUUAGAUAAGCCCCUUCAAAUUCC